rnacentral:rRNA from 1 species
UACGUAGGGUGCAAGCGUUGUCCGGAAUCAUUGGGCGUAAAGCGCGCGUAGGUGGCUUUGUAAGUCCGUUGUGAAAGUCAAAGGCUCAACCUUUGAAUGCCGAUGGAUACUGCGGAACUAGAGUACGGAAGGGGCGAGUGGAAUUCCUGGUGUAGCGGUGGAAUGCGCAGAUAUCAGGAGGAACACCAAUAGCGAAGGCAGCUCGCUGGGACGUUACUGACACUAAGGCGCGAAAGCGUGGGGAGCGAACGGG